GGUAUAGGAACCUGAGCUUCAACGACGGAGCUAAAAUGAAUUCAGGGUGAGAUACCCCUCCCCCCAAGCCGCACUCUUUAAAAAUUUUGGCUGAAUGUCUAAAGAAGCUACGAGCACCCCCGGAGGCCUUUAAGGAAAACAGUCUACUGGCUGCGCACAGCUGCAGUUGGGGGCAGGGAGGGGGAGGUGCUGGAGAGACCAAACAGCUUCCUUCCCAUCGGUGGUCUCAGAGCUCUCACCGCGGACACCCGAGAUUCGAGGAAAGCUCCGGAAAAGACUCCGCUCUCAAUAACAACCCUCUUCCCCAAGGCUCUUGGAAAGGCUGGAUCUGAACAACGCUGCCUGCAUGACCUCAAUUCCCCAACCUAAAUGAAAGCUGAGAAGCACCCAACCAAAACCCGCACCCCCCACCCCAACCACCCUACGGGGCGGGGGGCGGUCCCAUACUCAGGGUGUCUACAAGCUCUACUCAGGGUGUCUACAGUCCUGGAGCUGCUUUUAUUUUUAUUAAUGUAUUUUUCAGGCCGAAAAAAGGCACAUGCACACACGCACACCGCACACAGGUUCACACCCAGUGGGUUCUGGCAGGUACAGAGGAGACCUGGUGCUCCAGACUGUAAAGUGUCUUGAUCCCAGCCUGGCCUCCCUCCCCCAGUGAUUAAUAAAAGACCGGCCAUGGGGAGCCGGCGUUCUGGUUUUCAUUGUACAGGCUGCACUGGGUGACACAGGAC
ensembl:lncRNA